rnacentral:lncRNA from 1 species
UCAAACCUUUCACGCGUUCUAUCGCUUACUCUUUCUCUUCCAACAAUCAACCUCUCUUAAUCUGUCACUGCUCUCUCUCUCUCACCCCUUAACGUUUUCUCAAGUUGUUGUUUGAUCUAUUCCUAUCUUUUAUUGUUCUCAAUUUUUUAUGCCUCUCUUUGCUUCACUUUUUAUGUAUCGAUUUCUACUUCUUAAUGUAUUGAUCUCUGCUGAAUUUGUUGGGGUUUCAAUUUUUAUCCUCUCCCGUUUUUUCUUUUCUUAUCUCUGAAUCUUGCCAUUGAUUAAUGUGUUGUUUGGGGAGAAAAAAAUCUGCCAUUGAUUUCUCACGUUUCUUUGCCAUUGAUUAAUUUGGGGAGAAAAAAAUCAGCCAUUGAUAUCCACGCAGAUGUUAUUUCCACGCAGCUGCUUGCUUUGAUCUCUAAUAUUUUCUUUUCUUAUCUCUGUAUCUUGCCAUUGAUUAAUGUGUUUGUUGGGGAGAAAAAAAUCUGUUUAUGCAGGGACGAUGGUGUUCUUUCUAUCCCGUUCUUGUGCGGCGCUUAAUAAUAUUAUUUUUUGCAUCUUAAAAAAACAAAAAAUUAAUAUAGACUGAUAAGAUAAAAUAUUGUUAUUCUUUUGUACGCCAAACACAUGAUAGGAUAAUUGUUAUCAUGUUACUAUCAUAUUCUAUCACUAUCCAGCUCCUUAUCAUAUCUUGUCGCAAU